AGAGUUUGAUCCUGGCUCAGGACGAACACUGGCGGCGCGCCUAACACAUGCAAGUCGAACGGAGCUUAGAGAGCUUGCUUUUUAAGCUUAGUGGCGAACGGGUGAGUAACGCGUGAGUAACCUGCCCUAGAGUGGGGGACAACAGUUGGAAACGACUGCUAAUACCGCAUAAGCCCACGGUGCCGCAUGACACUGAGGGAAAAGGAUUUAUUCGCUUUAGGAUGGACUCGCGUCCAAUUAGCUAGUUGGUGAGGUAACGGCCACCAAGGCGACGAUUGGUAGCCGGACUGAGAGGUUGAACGGCCACAUUGGGACUGAGACACGGCCCAGACCUCCUACGGGAGGCA
rnacentral:rRNA from 1 species